UUAGAUGACCAAAUAACCCUAGAUAGACUUGACUUUGUCUAAUCUCAGAAGCCCAGCAGGGUUGGAUCAGGUUAGUCCUUGGUUGGGAGACCUAAGAUCUACUAGGUGCUUUAAG
rnacentral:rRNA from 1 species